UACGUAGGGGGCGAGCGUUGUCCGGAUUUAUUGGGCGUAAAGAGCUCGUAGGCGGUUUGGUAAGUCGGGUGUGAAAUCUCCACGCUCAACGUGGAGGGGCCACUCGAUACUGCCAUGACUCGAGUCCGGUAGAGGAGUGUGGAAUUCCCGGUGUAGCGGUGAAAUGCGCAGAUAUCGGGAGGAACACCCGUAGCGAAGGCGGCACUCUGGGCCGGAACUGACGCUGAGGCGCGAAAGCUAGGGGAGCAAACAGG
rnacentral:rRNA from 1 species